rnacentral:rRNA from 1 species
UGGGGAAUAUUGGACAAUGGGCGAAAGCCUGAUCCAGCUAUGCCGCGUGGAUGAAGAAGGCCCUAGGGUUGUAAAGUCCUUUCACCGCUGAAGAUAAUGACGGUAAGCGGAGAAGAAGCCCCGGCUAAUUUCGUGCCAGCAGCCGCGGUAAUACGAAAGGGGCUAGCGUUGUUCGGAAUUACUGGGCGUAAAGCGCACGUAGGCGGCCAUGUAAGAUGGGGGUGAAAUCCCUGGGCUCAACCCAGGAAUUGCCUUCAUGACUGCAUAGCUCGAGGAUGCGAGAGGUGAAUGGAAUUCCGAGUGUAGAGGUGAAAUUCGUAGAUAUUCGGAAGAACACCAGUGGCGAAGGCGAUUCACUGGCGCAUUUCUGACGCUGAGGUGCGAAAGCGUGGGGAGCAAACAGG